GUGAGUCAUCGAAUCUUUGAACGCACCUUGCGCUCCUUGGUAUUCCGAGGAGCAUGCCUGUUUGAGUGUCAUUAAUAUAUCAACCUCUUCAGUUGUUGAGUGUUGGAUGUGGGGGUUGUUGGCCUUUCCAAGGUCGGCUCCCCUAAAAUACAUUAGCGGAACAAUUUGUUGACUGUUCAUUGGUGUGAUAAUUAUCUACGCUAUUGACGGUGAAGCAGGUUCAGCUUCUAACAGUCCAUUGACUUGGACAAAUUUUCAUUAAUGUGACCUCAAAUCAGGUAGGACUACCCGCUGAACUUA
rnacentral:rRNA from 1 species